rnacentral:lncRNA from 1 species
GGCUGGGCAGACGGGGUUCCACCCUGCACCUGUAGCUGAGGGAAGGGCUGCCUGAGAGCAUCAGGUACCAGGGACACCAUCAAAGGGCCCAAUCCUUUGCCUUCCCCAAAGCACCUUGCAGAGCACUCUUAGGCAGGGUGUAUCAGCAGUGGCCUGGCCAGAACCUGCUGACCCCUUCCCCUCCUCGCUCAACUCCUAGGCUGGGAUUCCUGGCCUGAGAUGCUGGGAAGAUGAGACUACUCCCUGGCCUGUACCUUGCCCCCAUCUGCCCGGUCCUGUGGGACAUCAGUGAUGGCACUCAGUGACCCUACCUCUCAGGCCACCCAGGGCCAACCGCUGACAAGCUGCCCAGGGCCAAAGGGGUCCCGGACCAUCCCCAGGCCCCAUCCAGCAGCCUAGGCUCUGACACAUAGUGGGUGGUGUGAUGCUGCCUCAGGGCUUCUGACAUGGAAGCCUGUGUCCCGCAACUGGUUUGACUUCCACCUCCUGCCACAGCAGCGCGGCUCAUUCUCUCUGUCCUCACACCUGCUCUGCCCUCUGUCUGGGGUUCCUCUCCCCAACCCGCCUGGGAUGCCCCCAGCUGAGCUCCAGCUGCCCUGAUUCACCUAGUCUCUCAGCUCAGAGGUAUCCCUUAAAGGACCUAGUCUCACUCCUACCCUAGAGGUAUGACCUCAUGUUGGCUGCACUGACACUGGCGUGA